GAUGAACGCUAGCGGCAGGCCUAAUACAUGCAAGUCGGACGGGAUUCGGGACUUCGGUUCCGAUGAGAGUGGCGCACGGGUGCGUAACACGUAUGUAACCUACCCUUGUCAGGGGGAUAGCCUCUCGAAAGAGAGAUUAAGCCCGCAUAACAUUAUGAUAUAGCAUUAUAUUAUAAUCAAAUAUUAUAGGACGAGGAUGGGCAUGCGGAACAUUAGCAGUUGGUAAGGUAACGGCUUACCAAGGCGACGAUGUUUAGGGGAUCUGAGAGGAUGACCCCC
rnacentral:rRNA from 1 species